rnacentral:rRNA from 1 species
AGUUCGGAUUGUAGCCUGCAACCCGGCUACAUGAAGCUGGAAUCGCUAGUAAUCGCGGAUCAGAAUGCCGCGGUGAAUACGUUCCCGGGUCUUGUACACACCGCCCGUCACACCAUGGGAGUUGGAAAUGCCCGAAGUCAGUGGCCCAACCGCAAGGAGGGAGCUGCCGAAGGCAGGUCCGGUAACCGGGGUGAAGUCGUAACAAGGUACC